rnacentral:lncRNA from 1 species
UGGUAAUGCAAGCUUGUGACCUAAAUAGGGGCAUUAAGAUGUUGGAAGGUCUUUGAUGUGUGGAAAAAACAAAAAACAAAAAAAAAAACAAAAAGAAAUUACUAUAUAUUCAACUUUGGUUGUUUGAUGUGGAUUGCUUGAUUCACAAGCUGACUUCAGAGUGCAGCACAGACUGAACCUCCCUAUAAUAUUUGGCGCUCUAAGCCUACCAAAGCACACACAAAGGCCUUCUAAUUAUUAUUAUCCAAGUUAAGUGAUUUGUUACUAAUUUAUACUUGUUGCUAUCAUAAUCUUGAAUGAAA